rfam:Ipomoea nil DNA, scaffold: scaffold2761, cultivar: Tokyo-kokei standard.
AUUGCGAGAAGAGAGCUUUCUUCAGUCCACUCAUGGGUAGAAGUAGGGUUCAAUUAGCUUCUGGCUCAUUCAUCCAAAUACUGAGAUGAACUGAAUGGAGAAGACUCUCUCUGUAACUGAGUGAAUGAUCUGGGAGACAAGUUGGAUCCUAAUCUUCCUGUACUUGGACUGAAGGGAGCUCCCUUUUCUGGGUUU